rnacentral:rRNA from 1 species
UACAGAGGGUGCAAGCGUUAAUCGGAAUUACUGGGCGUAAAGCGUGCGCAGGCGGUUUUGUAAGACAGGUGUGAAAUCCCCGGGCUUAACCUGGGAACUGCAUUUGUGACUGCAAGGCUGGAGUGCGGCAGAGGGGGAUGGAAUUCCGCGUGUAGCAGUGAAAUGCGUAGAUAUGCGGAGGAACACCGAUGGCGAAGGCAAUCCCCUGGGCCUGCACUGACGCUCAUGCACGAAAGCGUGGGGAGCAAACAGG